AGUGAACGCUGGCGGUAGGCCUAACACAUGCAAGUCGAACGGCAGCACAGUAAGAGCUUGCUCUUACGGGUGGCGAGUGGCGGACGGGUGAGGAAUACAUCGGAAUCUACUCUUUCGUGGGGGAUAACGUAGGGAAACUUACGCUAAUACCGCAUACGACCUACGGGUGAAAGCAGGGGAUCUUCGGACCUUGCGCGUUUGAAUGAGCCGCUGUCGGAUUAGCUAGUUGGCGGGGUAAAGGCCCACCAAGGCGACGAUCCGUAGCUGGUCUGAGAGGAUGAUCAGCCACACUGGAACUGAGACACGGUCCAGACUCCUACGGGAGGCAGCAGUGGGGAAUAUUAGACAAUGGGCGCAAGCCUGAUCCAGCCAUACCGCGUGGGUGAAGAAGGCCUUCGGGUUGUAAAGCCCUUUUGUUGGGAAAGAAAAGCAGCAGGUUAAUACCCCGCUGUUCUGACGGUACCCAAAGAAUAAGCACCGGCUAACUUCGUG
rnacentral:rRNA from 1 species